rnacentral:rRNA from 1 species
CCACUGGGGAGUACGCCGCAACGUGAAACUCAAAGGAAUUGACGGGGCCCGCACAAGCGGAGGACAUGUGUUAUUCGAUGAUACGCGAGGAACCUUACCCGGGCUUGAACUGCAGAGGAAGGAUCUAGAGAUAGUGACGCCCUUCGGGGCCUCUGUGGAGGUGCUGCAUGGUUGUCGUCAGCUCGUGCCGUGAGGUGUCGGCUUAAGUGCCAUAACGAGCGCAACCCCUCUCCGUAGUUGCCAUCGGGUUAAGCCGGGCACUCUGCGGACACUGCCACCGUAAGGUGUGAGGAAGGUGGGGAUGACGUCAAAUCAGCACGGCCCUUACGUCCGGGGCUACACACGUGUUACAAUGGGGAGUACAGAAGGCCGGUCGCUGGCAAUGGCGAUCCAAUCUUAAAAGCUCUCCUCAGUUCGGAUUGGGGUCUGCAACCCGACCCCAUGAAGCUGGAUUCGCUAGUAAUCGCGCAUCAGCCAUGGCGCGGUGAAUACGUUCCCGGGCCUUGUACACACCGCCCGUCAAGCCAUGAAAGCCUGGGGCGCCUGAAGUCCGUGACCGCGAGGGUCGGCCUAGGGUGAAACAGGUGAUUGGGGCU